rnacentral:rRNA from 1 species
UCUGGUGAUAAUGGCGGAGGGGUUCCACGCGUACCCAUCUCGAACACGGCCGUUAAGCCCUCCAGCGCCAAUGGUACUUGGACCGCAGGGUCCUGGGAGAGUAGGACGUCGCCAGGC